rnacentral:pre_miRNA from 1 species
UUUAUACUCCCUCUGUCCCAAAUUUCUUGUCUUAGAUUUGUCUAGAUACGAAUGUAUCUAAUACUAAAAUGUGACUUGAUACAUCCAUAUUUAGACAAAUCUAAGACAAAAAUUUUGGACGGAGGGAGUAUUAU